GACAGAGGCCUCAAGCGUUAGGCGGAAUCACUGGGCUUAAAGCGUGUGUAGGCGGAUCGUUAAGUGUCUUGUGAAAUCCCACGGCUCACCCGUGGAACGGCUGGGCAUACUGGCGAUCUUGGGCCAACUAGGGGCAACUGGAACAAGCGGUGGAGCGGUGAAAUGCGUAGAUAUCAGGAAGAACACCCGUGGCGAAGGCGGCUCUCUGGGACGGUACUGACGCUGAGACGCGAAAGCGUGGGGAGCGAACAGG
rnacentral:rRNA from 1 species